UAGGGAAUCUUCCACAAUGGACGAAAGUCUGAUGGAGCAACGCCGCGUGAGUGAAGAAGGUUUUCGGAUCGUAAAGCUCUGUUGUUGGUGAAGAAGGAUAGAGGCAGUAACUGGUCUUUAUUUGACGGUAAUCAACCAGAAAGUCACGGCUAACUACGUGCCAGCAGCCGCGGUAAUACGUAGUGGCAAGCGUUGUCCGGAUUUAUUGGGCGUAAAGCGAGCGCAGGCGGAAUGAUAAGUCUGAUGUGAAAGCCCACGGCUCAACCGUGGAACUGCAUCGGAAACUGUCAUUCUUGAGUGCAGAAGAGGAGAGUGGAACUCCAUGUGUAGCGGUGGAAUGCGUAGAUAUAUGGAAGAACACCAGUGGCGAAGGCGGCUCUCUGGUCUGCAACUGACGCUGGGGCUCGAAAGCAUGGGUAGCGAACAGGAUUAGAUACCCUGGUAGUCCAUGCCGUAAACGAUGAGCGCUAGGUGUUGGGGACUUUCCGGUCCUCAGUGCCGCAGC
rnacentral:rRNA from 1 species